rnacentral:rRNA from 1 species
GACGAACGCUGGCGGCGUGCCUAAUACAUGCGAGUUGAGCGCUGAAGGUUGGUACUUGUACCAACUGGAUGAGCAGCGAACGGGUGAGUAACGCGUGGGGAAUCUGCCUUUGAGCGGGGGACAACAUUUGGAAACGAAUGCUAAUACCGCAUAAAAACUUUAAACACAAGUUUUAAGUUUGAAAGAUGCAAUUGCAUCACUCAAAGAUGAUCCCGCGUUGUAUUAGCUAGUUGGUGAGGUACAGGCUCACCAAGGCGAUGAUACAUAGCCGACCUGAGAGGGUGGUAGGCCACACUGGGAGGGAGACACGGCCCACCCUCCUACGGGAGGCAGCAGUAGGGAAUCGUCGGCAAUGGACGAAAGUCUGACCGAGCAACGCCGCGGGAGUGCAGAAGGUUUUCGGAUCGUAAAACUCUGUUGGUAGAGAAGAACGUUGGUGAGAGUGGAAAGCUCAGCAAGUGACGGUAACUACCCAGAAAGGGACGGCUAACUACGUG